UGCCCGAGUCCAAGAUGGUGGCGCCACGGCUUCGAUCUCGUGGGGGGUAAAUAGCCAGCGGCCCCGCCCCUUGCCAGUUUCACAGAUGGCCGCCAUGAGUCUCCUGCUCCGGGCAGCGGCCGCUUUGGGGACUCGCAAGGUCCUGUUCAGGGCGGCAGGCGGGGGACGUGUCUCCUUGCUGGGCAGAAAUGUCGUGUCCUCCGGCAUCAUCGCUCCAGUACGACAUGGAAGCCAUGGAAAAAGAAUGUUUGUCAUCAAGCCAACAGAUUUCUAUGAUCAACGAUUUCUGCACUUACUGAGAUUCUAUAUUUUAUUGACUGGGAUACCAUUAGCAAUAAUUAUAACGUCUGUCAACAUCUUCAUUGGUGAAGCUGAACUUGCAGAGAUUCCAGAAGGUUAUGUUCCAGAGCACUGGGAGUAUUACAAAGCGUUAAUCACAUACCUCUGGGUGAGGAGGGAGGCAUCAGCUGUGGAGGGACCUGACAGUGUCCGGUCAGGCACAGUAAUGCCAAUCCGCCUCCGGAGGGCAGGGAGAGGAGAGGAGAAGCAGUGGCUCCCAUCCCAGCUCCAGUGGAGAGCAUCCUAUAACUAGGUGGAUUGCUCGUUAUCUCCUUGAUUCUCCUGAAAAGGAAUAUGAAAAAAUGUUGGCCUUAAUUGAUAUUGAAGCUAAAAAAGCUGACCUAAGGCUGAAGGAAUUGGAGGCACGUCGACUAAUGAGACAGAGGGGAGAUGGGCCCUGGUAUUACUAUGAGACCCCUGAUAAAAAUCUUAUUGAUCAUUCUGCUAAAGCAUCUCCUGACAAUUAAGCAGUUAGUCCACUGUUCCAAAAGAGCACCCACAAAUAGCGACUGAAUAAUGUAAUGUGUAUCCUGUUGUUUCUUGCUGACUUAAAUAAAAGUUUCUAUUUCAGUA